UAUGAGGUUGGAGCAGCUGUAGCCAUCUCCAUCUAUCGAGGGAACACAGGUUUGAGAACACAGUCAAGUCAGGACGAGAACAAGAGAGACGCUGGAUCUUGAGGACAGUGCUUGAGCCCUCGAAUCAAUCAAUGUCUAAACUAAUGGAAGGUCGAUGAAGACAUUUGGCCAGAGGACCCUGAAACACCUGAAUCCCACCUUUGACUGGCUAGCCCCAUUUCUCAGCAGUGCCUUCACAGGAGCGAGUAGGAAUAUAUCCAUAGAACACAUGCAGAUGGAUAAGCCAGGUUCUGGUCUCCAUUCCAGGAGAAUGCUAUUUGGGUGAAUUUUGGCUACAGUGUACGGACAUAAAGAAUUUGGGUCAUUCUUAUACCCAACAGAUCACAUCCAGGAAAUGUAUUCAAGAUGCUUUGAUCUCAUCUGAGGGGUGGCUAAGUACAACCCAUUCUUAAUAAAGCUAUUUAUAGUGAGAAGCAAUUUGGGUCAGGCCUGCCUUUCCAGUCUGCCUCAUUGGCAAAGUGGUAGGCCUCUGACUUCUGUCUC
rnacentral:antisense_RNA from 1 species